rnacentral:rRNA from 1 species
CCCUUAGUAACGGCGAGCGAAAAGGGAAGAGUCCAGCGCCAAGUCUUGACGCCAAAGCGUUCAAGAGAUGCGGCGUUAAUGUAUUAUCGCAUCGUACAUUGUUACCUGUUUCAAGUUCCCUUGACAGGGACAUCCAUAGCGGGUGCUAGGCCCAUAGAGGCAGGAAACCAGUGUGCGCAGAUAAUGCAUUCUAGAGUCAGGUUGCUUGAGAGUGCAGCUUAAAGUGGGUGGUAAACUCCAUCUAAGGCUAAAUAUGACAGCGAGACCGAUAGCAAACAAGUACCGUGAGGGAAAGUUGCAAAGCACUUUGAAGAGAGAGUUCAACAGUACGUGAAACCACUGGGAGGCAAACAGAUGGAACCACGAAGUUGCGCCUCGCUCGAUUCAAUCAUUGAUACUGGUUACCGGUUCUUGUGUGGAUCUUUUCGGAGAUUAGCAAGUGUCGUGGAACUUGUGUCAAUGGUGCAUUUCGUGUGAGGAUGCUAAGCCACGUUCGAUUAGAGUUGGGACGGCCGUAAGACAGAAUUCGAGGAAGGUGACCGGAAAGUGCUUGCAUUUUUCGGUGUUAUAGCCUUGAAUUGGUACCGUCGCCUAACAAACUGAUCGAUAGAAAUUCUCCUUAGGAGUUAAACUGUGUCUGCCUGUGACCAUUAGUCAACAGUUCGAAGUGUUCUUUACGUAUCUUUGGUGCGGAAAGGCAUUUCAACAAUGUUGGUUAGUGGUUGCUUGCGUGACAUGGUGGAACUGUGGCGCGAGUAGGUCGGUUUCCCUCUGACCC